rfam:Pteropus alecto contig81835, whole genome shotgun sequence.
UGCCUCUCUCCCAUGGGGCUGUGCGGGGGUCUCUUUUCUCCUCAGCCAGGGCUGGAGGCCAAGAUCAGUCCUUGAGGAUUAUUGUCAGGGCUGCCAUGAGCUGGGCAGUCCUGUUUUCCUACCUCAGACAUUC